rnacentral:tRNA from 2 species
GCUGGCGUAGCUCAGUUGGUAGAGCAUCUGAUUUGUAAUCAGAGGGUCGGGGGUUCAACUCCCUCCGCCAGCU